GACGAGCGCUGGCGGCGUGCUUAACACAUGCAAGUCGAACGGAAAGGCCCUGCUUUUGUGGGGUGCUCGAGUGGCGAACGGGUGAGUAACACGUGAGUAACCUGCCCUUGACUUUGGGAUAACUUCAGGAAACUGGGGCUAAUACCGGAUAGGAGCUCCUGCUGCAUGGUGGGGGUUGGAAAGUUUCGGCGGUUGGGGAUGGACUCGCGGCUUAUCAGCUUGUUGGUGGGGUAGUGGCUUACCAAGGCUUUGACGGGUAGCCGGCCUGAGAGGGUGACCGGCCAAAUGGGGACGGGGAUCCGGCCCAGGCCCCCAGGGGGGGCAGCGGGGGGGAAUAUUGCACAAGGGGGGGAAGCCUAAUGAAGCAACGCCGGGGGGGGGAGGACGGCCUUCGGGUUGAAAACCGCUUUCGCCUGUGACGAAGCGGGAGUGGCGGUAAUGGGUAAAGAAGCACCGGCUAACUACGU
rnacentral:rRNA from 1 species